rnacentral:lncRNA from 10 species
UUGAAAAAUACUAGGAAACACACUCGCUUCAGCCUGCACCAACCAAAAUGACUGCUCAAAGGCCAUUCAGCCCCUUUAUCACUGUGGCUCAACUUUGAUUUUCUUCCCAGUUCAUCCAUGAUUCAGACUUCUUCUGUUUCAGGAGCUUUGCCCAUGCGUUCUGCCACCUUCUGCCAGGAAUUACACCUGUCCCAUCCCGUCGUCUCCUGAAUGUCCAGAGACAGGGGUCUCCCCGUGUUGUCCAGAACGGUCUUGAACUCCUGGUCUUCAAGCAAUCUUCCUGCCUUGGUCUCUCAAAGUGCUGGGAUUACAAGUGUGAGCCACCAUACCCGGUCAUAGCGCUCUUAUAAAAUGCAUCAUCACAUUUAUUUUAUAAAUUCAGAAACAAAAGUCUGUAUAGAGAAGUUUUGAAGUUACUAGGGACCUGAAAAUCAUACUGAAGAUGUCUGCAACUAAAAACUCGAAGAGUUCCGAGGCUAGAGGGGUCAGGAGAUGAAUAAAAACGUUAGCCCCAGCUGAUCACAAUGAGGUUAAUCACAAUACUAAUUAAAAAUACUACAGAUCCUAGGACAAUGGUCAGAAGAGUGACUAUACUUUCCUGUUUGCCCUUGGAAAAUCGAGGGCUGACUUUUCUACGUGCUCAGAUAACCUAAAUUGAUAGAGAGAAAGCUAGCAGAGGAUAAGAUAAACUAGUUAACUGUAAAUAAGAUUUUGCUGUUGGAGAAUCUUCUUGUUGCUCUGGUUUUAGAUAGCGGAGGAAGCCAAAAAAUAUCUGCUUUAAGUUACCAGGAGUUGAAGUUCAUCCCUGCUGAAGUUAACAGGUUGCUUCCCUUUUUCUGGUGUAUUCUUACUUUACUGGCAAAGAGAAAAUAAAUUAAUACCUUAUUGUUAAAA